rnacentral:rRNA from 1 species
UGAGGAAUACAUCGGAAUCUGCCUAUUUGUGGGGGAUAACCUCGGGAAACCGGGACUAAUACCGCAUACGACCUACGGGUGAAAGCGGAGGACCUUCGGGCUUCGCGCAGAUAGAUGAGCCGAUGUCGGAUUAGCUAGUUGGAGGGGUAACGGCCCACCAAGGCGACGAUCCGUAGCUGGUCUGAGAGGAUGAUCAGCCACACUGGGACUGAGACACGGCCCAGACUCCUACGGGAGGCAGCAGUGGGGAAUAUUGGACAAUGGGCGAAAGCCUGAUCCAGCCAUGCCGCGUGAGUGAAGAAGGCCUUCGGGUUGUAAAGCUCUUUUGUUGGGAAAGAAAAGCAAUCGGUUAAUACCCGUUUGUUCUGACGGUACCCAAAGAAUAAGCACCGGCUAACUUCGUGCCAGCAGCCGCGGUAAUACGAAGGGUGCAAGCGUUACUCGGAAUUACUGGGCGUAAAGCGUGCGUAGGUGGUUCGUUAAGUCUGAUGUGAAAGCCCUGGGCUCAACCUGGGAAUUGCAUUGGAUACUGGCGGGCUAGAGUACGGUAGAGGGUGGCGGAAUUCCUGGUGUAGCAGUGAAAUGCGUAGAUAUCAGGAGGAACAUCCGUGGCGAAGG